CUGGUGGCCACAAGUAGUCAAAGCAGCUUCAUUCUGCUUUACUCUAUUCUGCCCAGUAGGUGGCGGUGUGCGCCUCCCAGCUGGUGACCUGUCAUCACAGACGCUGAAAAAAGAAGAAGUGGUGGCGCAACUCAGUUUAGCUAACAGCGACAGUAGUAGGUUAGUCCAUGACAGCAGCUCUCACCCGGAAUAAGGCUUCAACUUAGCCCCAUUCACUGCCCGUUCUGCUUUUCUUAUGACAUCCUUCAAGACGUGCGGCCGCAUCGCAUUAUGUUUGAGGAUCGUGAACUUCAAGAUCCAUUGUCACUGAAUGUAAAUGAAAAAUUUGAUGACCAGAAUUCACUACAUCAUGACACAAAAAAAGCACUAGCAGACCCUGACUAUAAUUGUGACACAUCUGAGAUUCGAGUAAUCAUCAAAGAGGAGGAGGAAGGCUGGAGUGUGAGUGAGAAUCAUGAGAGCUUCAGCUCAGAGGAAGAAAAAGAAGUAACUUCUGUGCAUACCUGUGAUCCCCAUCUCAAAGCAUGUGGGAGGGAGUGCUGCUAUUCAUAUGGAGUAAAGAGACACCAGAGAGUAACUGAGGUGGUGGAGAAAUGCUCUGAGGAGCCUGGUGGCCCCAUUCUCUGUGGGCAGAGCUCCUGUGCCAAAGAUGGGCGGCAGGGACACGUGCCCUUGUGCUCUGAUGGGAAACAUAAGAUUUCCUGUACUCAUGAGAAGGCAUCAGAAAAUGUCACUGUGCAUCAAUGCAAUAAUGUCGAAGGAAAAACUUUCUCCUAUCCACUAUUUGAGAAAUCCCAUCAGCAAACGCAUAUAAAGGAGGGGUGUUGUACUGAGGACCUGAGCCUUGAAGAAAAACAAAGCACAUCUUUGCAAAGAGAAGAGGAACUGCACAAAACCAAAAGAUCAGCACCUUGCCAAACCGAUUCUUCUGAACAAAUGCCCCUGUCACAUGGACUCAACAUGGCACAUUCAAAAUUGAAGGACCAAACGCUCCAUUUGACCGUCAGACUGCAGGCAGGGGAGGAGGAAGAAGAGGAACAAGAACAAGAUGAAGAAAUUUGUGGUUUAAUCAAUUCUGAUGGAGAAGUAGUUGAGUGGAGUACCAGAGUCAGUCCUGACCGAGGCUCCGACUGUGCUGAAAACCUUCAGCUGAGCAAGGGUGUUGUUCUAUCCGAGUCUCAGCUGCAAGGCCAAAACCAGAGAGACAGCAGUAGUCCAACUCUCCUCAUGGAAGUUGUGUCUGUGGGGGAAGAUGAAGAAAGGGAAGAAGGGGAGGAAAAAGAGAGAGUAGUAAAGAUGACAGCUGUUCCGCACUUGUACCGUGCAGGAAAGAGGCACAGACGACAGAAGGGUCCAGAAAUAACAGUGGUGUCAUUAGACAUCUCGGACACAGAAAAAGAAGUUCCCACAAAUCCUGGAAAGAGAAGGGGCAGAAGAAAGAGUUCAAAAACACCACUGUUGCCUGGGGAAGACAAGGAGGCAGAGCCUGGAAUAUUAAGGCGUACCCGAAGACAGAGAAAUUUACCGACAAUUGUGGAAUCAGAACAGUUUAACAUAAAAACUGUCCGCCGUGUUGCUGGUAAGAGAGAACGUAGUUCACAGGUAGCCUUUAACUUUCAGUCCAAUCCUGCUCACUGA
rnacentral:lncRNA from 1 species